GAGGUAACUGAAAUGUUGUGUGAACCAGAUCUGGCUAAUGAGGAGAGGAGCUUCUGAGGCACAGAGCUGAUGGGCAGCAUGGCUUGGCCCCCACAGCUAUGGCACAGGGAGCAGGGUCAUCAAAAUCCACUCUGCUCUUCCAGAAGCUGCAGAGAGAGGGAACCCUAAAACCUGACAUGCCAGAAAAGAUGGAGUUUUGCUCUUGUUGCCCAAGCUGGAGUGCAAUAGCGCAAUCUCGGCUCACUGCAACCUCUGUCUCCCAGGUUCAAGUGAUUCUCGUGCCUCAGCCUUCCAAGUAGCUGGGGUUGCAGGCAUGCACCACCACACCCCACUAAUUUUUGUAUUUUUAGUAGAGAUGGGGUUUCACCAUGUUGGCCAGGCUGGUCUCAAACUCCUGACUUCAGGUGAUCCGUCUGCCUCAGCCUUCCAAAGUGCUGGGAUUACAGGCGUGUGCCACCACGCCCGGCCUGAUUACCAGAUUUUCUUGUUGAUUGUGUCAUUAGUCAUGGCUAUCCUAAGACUUUUGCCAUCCACAGACAAUUGUUAUCUUGUUUUGAUUCUUUUCAAAAGGCAGUUUAUAAUCAGCUAUAGAACUCUGACAGGUGUUCUUGAAAGCAAGUCUCUGAUAACUUUGGAGAUUGGACUAUUAGAAUAGAGGAAAAAACUUCUAAGACUUUCCUGGAGAUGUUACAUGUUAAUAAAUAUUGAGUGGAACAAGA